UACAGAGGGUGCGAGCGUUGUCCGGAAUCACUGGGCGUAAAGGGCGCGUAGGUGGUGGCUUAAGCGUGCGGUGAAAGCUCGGAGCUCAACUCCGAGUCGGCCGUGCGAACUGGGCUCACUGGAGCAUAGUAGAGGCAGGUGGAAUUCCGGGUGUAGCGGUGGAAUGCGUAGAGAUCCGGAAGAACACCGGUGGCGAAGGCGGCCUGCUGGGCUAUGGCUGACGCUGAGGCGCGACAGCGUGGGGAGCAAACAGG
rnacentral:rRNA from 1 species